GUUUUUGAGGCUAAAAAGAAGCAAUGGACUUGUAAACCAAAAAUUGAAUGUUAUAUUCCAAAAACA
rnacentral:tRNA from 1 species